rnacentral:rRNA from 1 species
GAUGAACGCUAGCGGCAGGCUUAAUACAUGCAAGUCGAGGGGUAGCAAGAUUGUAGCAAUACAAUUGUUGACGACCGGCAAACGGGUGCGGAACACGUACACAACCUUCCUACAAGUGGGGAAUAGCCCAGAGAAAUUUGGAUUAAUACCCCGUAACAUAGCGAUGUGGCAUCACAUUGCUAUUAUAGCUUCGGCGCUUGUUGAUGGGUGUGCGGCUGAUUAGAUAGUUGGCGGGGUAACGGCCCACCAAGUCUACGAUCAGUAGCUGAUGUGAGAGAAUGAUCAGCAACACUGGAACUGAGACACGGGCCCGACUCCUACGGGAGGCAGCAGUAAGGAAUAUUGGACAAUGGACGCAAGUCUGAUCCAGCCAUGCCGCGUGAAGGAUUAAGGUCCUCUGGAUUGUAAACUUCUUUUAUAAGGGACGAAAAAAGGUCUUUCUAGAUCGUCUGACGGUACCUUAUGAAUAAGCACCGGCUAACUCCGUGCCAGCCGCCGCCGUAACAC